GGGGUCAUAGCUCAGUGGUAGAGUGCAUGGUUGGCAUCAUGAGGUCCUGGGUUCAAUCCCCAGUGCCUCUG
rnacentral:tRNA from 1 species